GCCAUGUUUGCCUAGUGGUUAGAGUGUCGGUUUCAGAUGCAGGAGGUCACGGGUUUGAAUCCCGGCCGAGUCAUACCAUAGGCU